AUUGAACGCUGGCGGCAGGCUUAACACAUGCAAGUCGAGCGGGGAAAGGUAGCUUGCUACCUGACCUAGCGGCGGACGGGUGAGUAAUGCUUAGGAAUCUGCCUAUUAGUGGGGGACAACAUCUCGAAAGGGAUGCUAAUACCGCAUACGUCCUACGGGAGAAAGCAGGGGACCUUCGGGCCUUGCGCUAAUAGAUGAGCCUAAGUCGGAUUAGCUAGUUGGUGGGGUAAAGGCCCACCAAGGCGACAAUCUGUAGCGGGUCUGAGAGGAUGAUCCGACACACGGGGACUAGGACACGGCCCCGACUCCUACGGUAGGCAGCAGUGGGGAAUAUUGGACAAUGGGGGGAACCCUGAUCCCGCCAUGCCGCGUGUGUGAAGAAGGCCUUUUGGUUGUAAAGCACUUUAAGCGAGGAGGAGGCUACCGAGAUUAAUACUCUUGGAUAGUGGACGUUACUCGCAGAAUAAGCACCGGCUAACUCUGUGCCAGCCGCCGCUGUAAUAC
rnacentral:rRNA from 1 species